rnacentral:tRNA from 1 species
GGAGGAUUACUCAGCUGGGAGAGCAUCUGCCUUACAAGCAGAGGGUCGGCGGUUCGAUCCCGUCAUCCUCCACCA